rnacentral:rRNA from 1 species
AAAUUGAAGAGUUUGAUCAUGGCUCAGAUUGAACGCUGGCGGCAGGCCUAACACAUGCAAGUCGAGCGGUAGCACAGAGAGCUUGCUCUCGGGUGACGAGCGGCGGACGGGUGAGUAAUGUCUGGGAAACUGCCUGAUGGAGGGGAUAACUACUGGAAACGGUAGCUAAUACCGCAUAACGUCGCAAGACCAAAGUGGGGACCUUCGGGCCUCAUGCCAUCAGAUGUGCCCAGAUGGGAUUAGCUAGUAGGUGGGGUAACGGCUCACCUAGGCGACGAUCCCUAGCUGGUCUGAGAGGAUGACCAGCCACACUGGAACUGAGACACGGUCCAGACUCCUACGGGAGGCAGCAGUGGGGAAUAUUGCACAAUGGGCGCAAGCCUGAUGCAGCCAUGCCGCGUGUGUGAAGAAGGCCUUCGGGUUGUAAAGCACUUUCAGCGGGGAGGAAGGCGUUAAGGUUAAUAACCCAUUGGCGAUUGACGUUACCCGCAGAAGAAGCACCGGCUAACUCCGUGCCAGCAGCCGCGGUAAUACGGAGGGUGCAAGCGUUAAUCGGAAUUACUGGGCGUAAAGCGCACGCAGGCGGUCUGUCAAGUCGGAUGUGAAAUCCCCGGGCUCAACCUCGGGAACUGCAUUCGAAACUGGCAGGCUAGAGUCUUGUAGAGGGGGGUAGAAUUCCGGUGUAGCGGUGAAAUGCGUAGAGAUCUGGAGGAAUACCGGUGGCGAAGGCGGCCCCCCCGGACAAAGACUGACGCUCAGGUGCGAAAGCGUGGGGAGCAAACAGGAUUAGAUACCCUGGUAGUCCACGCCGUAAACGAUGUCGAUUUGGAGGUUGUGCCCUUGAGGCGUGGCUUCCGGAGCUAACGCGUUAAAUCGACCGCCUGGGAGUACGGCCGCAAGGUUAAAACUCAAAUGAAUUGACGGGGCCCGCACAAGCGGUGGAGCAUGUGGUUUAAUUCGAUGCAACGCGAAGAACCUUACCUCGGUCUUGACAUCCACAGAACUUUCCAGAGAUGGAUUGGUGCCUUCGGGAACUGUGAGACAGGUGCUGCAUGGCUGUCGUCAGCUCGUGUUGUGAAAUGUUGGGUUAAGUCCCGCAACGAGCGCAACCCUUAUCCUUUGUUGCCAGCGGUCCGGCCGGGAACUCAAAGGAGACUGCCAGUGAUAAACUGGAGGAAGGUGGGGAUGACGUCAAGUCAUCAUGGCCCUUACGACCAGGGCUACACACGUGCUACAAUGGCAUAUACAAAGAGAAGCGACCUCGCGAGAGCAAGCGGACCUCAUAAAGUAUGUCGUAGUCCGGAUUGAGUCUGCAACUCGACUCCAUGAAGUCGGAAUCGCUAGUAAUCGUAGAUCAGAAUGCUACGGUGAAUACGUUCCCGGGCCUUGUACACACCGCCCGUCACACCAUGGGAGUGGGUUGCAAAAGAAGUAGGUAGCUUAACCUUCGGGAGGGCGCUUACCACUUUGUGAUUCAUGACUGGGGUGAAGUCGUAACAAGGUAACCGUAGGGGAACCUGCGGUUGGAUCACCUCCUUA